ACUCAAAGGAAUUGACGGGGGCCCGCACAAGCGGUGGAGCAUGUGGUUUAAUUCGACGCAACGCGAAGAACCUUACCUGGGCUCGAACGGCUGGAGAUAGUCCUUGGAAACAGGGGCGUUCCCGCAAGGGACUCUAGUCGAGGUGCUGCAUGGCUGUCGUCAGCUCGUGUCGUGAGAUGUUGGGUUAAGUCCCGCAACGAGCGCAACCCUUGUCCUGUGUUGCUAACCGAAAGGUGCACUCUCAGGAGACUGCCAGCGAUAAGUUGGAGGAAGGUGGGGAUGACGUCAAGUCAUCAUGGCCUUUAUGUCCAGGGCUACACACGUGCUACAAUGGGCGGUACAAAGCGCAGCGAAGCCGCAAGGCGAAGCAAAUCGCAAAAAACCGUUCUCAGUUCGGAUUGCAGGCUGCAACCCGCCUGCAUGAAGCUGGAAUCGCUAGUAAUGGCGUAUCAGAACGACGCCGUGAAUACGUUCCCGGGCCUUGCACACACCGCCCGU
rnacentral:rRNA from 1 species